CUUCAGCGCAUCCUCGCGACUAAUGACAAUCCUAACCCGUCAGCGGGUCAAGCCUCUCAUUAGCCGCGCGAACCUCUGCAACAAAAGAUCAUACUUAGCAACAAUACAUUAGUUUCCAGUGAAUUGCUGCCAUCAGCUUGAAAAAAGGGGCCAUGAAGGCCCCCUCUU
rnacentral:sRNA from 1 species